AACGCUGGCGGCAGGUCUAACACAUGCAAGUCGAGCGGCAGCGACAUAAACAAUCCUUCGGGUGCGUUUAUGGGCGGCGAGCGGCGGACGGGUGAGUAAUGCCUGGGAAAUUGCCCUGAUGUGGGGGAUAACUAUUGGAAACGAUAGCUAAUACCGCAUAAUAGCUUCGGCUCAAAGAGGGGGACCUUCGGGCCUCUCGCGUCAGGAUAUGCCCAGGUGGGAUUAGCUAGUUGGUGAGGUAAUGGCUCACCAAGGCGACGAUCCCUAGCUGGUCUGAGAGGAUGAUCAGCCACACUGGAACUGAGACACGGUCCAGACUCCUACGGGAGGCAGCAGUGGGGAAUAUUGCACAAUGGGCGCAAGCCUGAUGCAGCCAUGCCGCGUGUAUGAAGAAGGCCUUCGAGUUGUAAAGUACUUUCAGCAGUGAGGAAGGUGGAGUCGUUAAUAGCGGCCUCAUUUGACGUUAGCUGCAGAAGAAGCACCGGCUAACUCCGUGCCAGCAGCCGCGGUAAUACGGAGGGUGCGAGCGUUAAUCGGAAUUACUGGGCGUAAAGCGCAUGCAGGUGGUUUGUUAAGUCAGAUGUGAAAGCCCGGGGCUCAACCUCGGAAUUGCAUUUGAAACUGGCAGACUAGAGUACUGUAGAGGGGGGUAGAAUUUCAGGUGUAGCGGUGAAAUGCGUAGAGAUCUGAAGGAAUACCGGUGGCGAAGGCGGCCCCUGGACAGAUACUGACACUCAGAUGCGAAAGCGUGGGGAGCAAUCAGGAUUAGAUACCUGCUAGUCUACGCGUAAACGAUGUCUACUUGGAGGUUGUG
rnacentral:rRNA from 1 species